UACAGAGGGUGCGAGCGUUAAUCGGAAUUACUGGGCGUAAAGCGUGCGUAGACGGUUUCGUAAGUCGGGUGUGAAAUCCCCGGGCUCAACCUGGGAAUUGCAUUCGAACUGCGAGGCUAGGGUACGGAAGAGGGAAGCGGAAUUUCUGGUGUAGCGGUGAAAUGCGUAGAUAUCAGAAGGAACAUCAGUGGCGAAAGCGGCUUCCUGGUCCAGUACCGACGUUCAGGCACGAAAGCGUGGGGAGCAAACAGG
rnacentral:rRNA from 1 species